rnacentral:rRNA from 1 species
UGCGUAGGCGGGCUAAUAAGUCAGUGGUGAAAUCUUCCGGCUCAACCGGGAACCUGCCAUUGAUACUGUUAGUCUUGAGUUCGGCUGAGGUAGGCGGAAUGUGUAAUGUAGCGGUGAAAUGCUUAGAUAUUACACAGAACACCAAUUGCGUAGGCAGCUUACUAGACCGACACUGACGCUGAGGCACGAAAGCGUGGGGAGCGAACAGGAUUAGAUACCCUGGUAGUCC